rnacentral:rRNA from 1 species
GACGAACGCUGGCGGCGUGCUUAACACAUGCAAGUCGAACGGAAAGGCCCUGCUUUUGUGGGGUGCUCGAGUGGCGAACGGGUGAGUAACACGUGAGUAACCUGCCCUUGACUUUGGGAUAACUUCAGGAAACUGGGGCUAAUACCGGAUAGGAGCUCCUGCUGCAUGGUGGGGGUUGGAAAGUUUCGGCGGUUGGGGAUGGACUCGCGGCUUGUCAGCUUGUUGGUGGGGUAGUGGCUUACCAAGGCUUUGACGGGUAGCCGGCCUGAGAGGGUGACCGGCCACAUUGGGACUGAGAUACGGCCCAGACUCCGACGGGAGGCAGCAGUGGGGAAUAUUGCACAAUGGGCGGAAGCCUGAUGCAGCAACGCCGCGUGCGGGAUGACGGCCUUCGGGUUGUAAACCGCUUUCGCCUGUGACGAAGCGUGAGUGACGGUAAUGGGUAAAGAAGCACCGGCUAACUACGUG